CAAGGGUAAGCUAGUGCGCAAGAGCGUUCAGGUCCGCGCACGCGUGAGCAGUUCUAGCAUUUACUCGCACGCAGGCGUACUUAGUGUCGGGAAACUUCCAGGGACCCGCCUUCACCAUUCACAACACAAACUGAGACCUCGAGUGGGAAAGCACUUUAUUAGGCUGGACUUGCAGCUUCAGCUACGCGAGCCCUGCCCGUGGAGAUCAGAGGACAUUCCACGAGUGGCUUCUUCCCUUCCACCAUGUGAGUCCCAGGUAUCCAAUUCAGCAACUGCCUUUCUUUACCUGCUGAAUCGUCUUGCUGGCUCAACAGUGAGAACUUAAGAAGGCAGGUAUCGACUCAGUAACUCCCACCUUGUUUUUCCCUCUUGUUCUAUUUCUUUCCUUCUGAAUUAGCCUUGAGUCUUUCUUCCCUACAAUUAUUGGAUCAUAGUUAAGACAAUGAACCAGACAUCUUUUUGGCACCAACACGGCAGAUCCUAAAGUAAUGGCUGGUCGUGGUCAGAUCAAGAUGAUGAUAUGGAUUAAUAAAGUUCCUAGUGCUUGCUUUUGUUCA